rnacentral:rRNA from 1 species
ACAGGAUUAGAUACCCUGGUAGUCCACGCCGUAAACGAUGGAUACUAGCUGUUGGGGGCAACUUCAGUGGCUAAGCGAAAGUGAUAAGUAUCCCACCUGGGGAGUACGUUCGCAAGAAUGAAACUCAAAGGAAUUGACGGGGGCCCGCACAAGCGGUGGAGCAUGUGGUUUAAUUCGAUGAUACGCGAGGAACCUUACCAAGGCUUAAAUGUAGAUUGACAGGUUUGGAAACAGACUUUUCUUCGGACAAUUUACAAGGUGCUGCAUGGUUGUCGUCAGCUCGUGCCGUGAGGUGUCAGGUUAAGUCCUAUAACGAGCGCAACCCCUGUUGUUAGUUGCCAGCGAGUCAAGUCGGGAACUCUAGCAAGACUGCCAGUGUAAACUGUGAGGAAGGUGGGGAUGACGUCGAAUCAUCACGGCCCUUACGCAUUGGGCUACACACGUGCUACAAUGGACGGUACAGAGAGCAGCCACUACGUGAGUAGGAGCGAAUCUAUAAAACCGUUCUCAGUUCGGAUCGGAGUCUGCAACUCGACUCCGUGAAGCUGG